AUUGAACGCUGGCGGCAGGCCUAACACAUGCAAGUCGAACGGUAACAGGAAGAAGCUUUCUUAUUUGCUGACGAGUGGCGGACGGGUGAGUAAUGUGUGGGAAACUGCCUGAUGGAGGGGGAUAACUACUGGAAACGGUGGCUAAAACCGCAUAACGUUGCAAGACCAAAGUGGGGGACCUUCGGGCCUCUUGCCAUCGGUUGUGCAUAGAUGGGAUUAGUUUGUUGGUGGGGUAACGGCUAACCUAGGCGACGAUCCCUAGCUGGCCUGAGAGGAGGACGAGCCACCAUGGAACGGAGAACGGGCCCAGCUGCCUACGGGGGGAAGCAGUGGGGAUUAUUGGACAAUGGGGGAAGUCUUGAUGAAGCAAUGCCGCGGGGUGGAAGAAGGCUUCCGGGUGUUAAAGUACUUUCAGCGGGGAGGAAGGGAGUAAAGUUAAUACCUUUGCUCAUUGACGUUACCCGCAGAAGAAGCACCGGCUAACUCCGUG
rnacentral:rRNA from 1 species